UACGGAGGGAGCUAGCGUUGUUCGGAAUUACUGGGCGUAAAGCGCACGUAGGCGGCGAUUCAAGUCAGAGGUGAAAGCCCGGGGCUCAACCCCGGAACUGCCUUUGAAACUAGAUCGCUAGAAUCCUGGAGAGGCGAGUGGAAUUCCGAGUGUAGAGGUGAAAUUCGUAGAUAUUCGGAAGAACACCAGUGGCGAAGGCGGCUCGCUGGACAGGUAUUGACGCUGAGGUGCGAAAGCGUGGGGAGCAAACAGG
rnacentral:rRNA from 1 species